UUUUUUGUUUCCCUUUAGUACCGGCGCGAACUAGGGUUACUUCAGGAGGGAGCUUGGCUUGACGCCCGGUCGAAGGUACAUGCCUCCCGAGGAGCCAGUAUUGGUUAUCCCAAGAAAAGCCGGAUGGAUGAUAAGCCCAGGUGAAAUACUGGUCCAUGCUAUUGAAGUACGCUACCAGGUAGAGGUGGGUCUGGGGGGAUCCCGCCUGUUCUAGCCGGCCAGUUCUAUGGCGCACAGGAGAAUUUGUCAUGGCGCAGCUGACCAGCAUCUCGUCAGAAGCGUCUAUGAUGGAACAGUUCUUCGGGAGAACCUCUACGGUAGAGCUGACGUCCGUAGAAAAGAUCGCUACUCCGGCAGCAGCGCGGAAUCGGAGAUCAACGUGUCGGAAUCAUUGGUUUAAGGUCUGUAGCGGUCUUUAGUCAGUGUGAAACCCAUCGUCUACGGGGAACGGCCAUGAUACGCUGACUUAAUUUUGUGAAGCACUAGAUAUUAGGUAGCGUGAAAGGUUAGAGAUUACAUGGAAGCCAAUUGGAAGGCAGGUGCUACCAAUGGAUUAACGCUGAUGGCGAAAGCGUGGGUAGCGCACAGGAUUAGAUACCCUGGUAGUCCACGCUGUAAACGAUGGAUUCUAGCUGUUGGGAGCAAGUUCAGUGGCUAAGUGAAAGUCAUAAGUAUCCCACCUGGGGAGUACGAACGCAAGUUUGGACUCAAAGGAAUUGACGGGGGCCCGCACAAGCGGUGGAGCAUGUGGUUUAAUUCGAUGAUACGCGAGGAACCUUACCAAGGCUUAAAUGCAGACUGACCGGUUUGGAAACAGACCUUUCGCAAGACGGUCUACAAGGUGGUGCAUGGUAGUCGUCAGCUCGUGCCGUGAGGUGUCAGGUUAAGUCGUAUAACGAGCGCAACCCCUGUUGUUAGUUGCCAGCGAGUCAUGUCGGGAACUCUAGCAAGACCGCCAGUGCAAACUGUGAGGAAGGUGGGGAUGACGUCAAAUCAUCACGGCCCUUACGCCUUGGGCUACACACGUGCUACAAUGGCCGGUACAGAGAGCAGCCACCCCGCGAGGGGGAGCGAAUCUAUAAACCCGGUCACAGUUCGGAUCGGAGUCUGCAACUCGACUCCGGGAAGCUGGAAUCGCUAGUAAUCGGAUAUCAGCCAUGAUCCGGUGAAUACGUUCCCGGGCCUUGUACACCCCGCCCGUCAAGCCAUGGAAGCUGGGGGUGCCUGAAGUCGGUGACCGCAAGGAGCCGCCUAGGGAAAGGGGGGGGG
rnacentral:rRNA from 1 species